rnacentral:rRNA from 1 species
GCAUCGAGCUUGACUGGGUUGUAGCUGGCCUUCCGAGGCAUGUGCACAGCCCUGCUCAUCCACUCUUACACCUGUGCACUUACUGUGGGUAUCAGAUCGUGAAGCGUGCUCUUUUACCGGAGCUUGUGAAGCGUGUCUGUGCCUGCGUUUAUCACAAACACUAUAAAGUAUCAGAAUGUGUAUUACGAUGUAACGCAUCUAUAUACAACUUUCAGCAACGGAUCUCUUGGCUCUCGCAUCGAUGAAGAACGCAGCGAAAUGCGAUAAGUAAUGUGAAUUGCAGAAUUCAGUGAAUCAUCGAAUCUUUGAACGCACCUUGCGCUCCUUGGUAUUCCGAGGAGCAUGCCUGUUUGAGUGUCAUGAAAUCUUCAACCUAUAAGCUUUUGUGGUUUGUAGGCUUGGACUUGGAGGCUUGUCGGCCUUGAUCGGUUGGCUCCUCUUAAAUGCAUUAGCUUGAUUCCUUGCGGAUCGGCUCUCGGUGUGAUAAUAUCUACGCCGCGACCGUGAAGCGUUUGGCGAGCUUCUAACCGUCUCACUUGAGAGACAACUUUAUGACCUCUGACCUCAAAUCAGGUAGGACUACCCGCUGAACUUAAGCAUAUCAAAGCCCGAAGGAC